rnacentral:lncRNA from 1 species
AUUAAAAUGCUUUUAGAAACUCUGUAUUAUUCUGUCAAUAGGACUUUGGGGUGUAAAACAUUUUUUGUUUGUCAAUUUUAAAUCUGGUGUUUUAGAUGAGAGAUUAGUAAUACAUUUUGGUUUUUUUUUUUUUUUUUUCAGGUAGAAAAUUUGAAACUGUAUCUUUAGAAAAGUAUUUGAUGUGACCGGAAACACAAAGUAGAAGCUUAUCUUUUAUUAGUUUAAAGUUCUAAAUUAGGGCUGGAGAGAUAGCUCAGAGGUCUGCUCUUCCAAAGGUCCUGAGGUCACUUCCCAGUAGUCACAUGGUGGCUCACAACUAUCUGUAAUGGGAUCUGAUGCCCUCUUCUGGGCUGUCUGAAGACAGCUACAGUGUACUCAUAUACAUAAAAUAAAUAAUAAUAAAAAGUUAUAAAUAUUGUAAUUUGGUAUUCUUGCUUAGAAUAUGAUCCCAUCAGAUGGUGCACUACAUUGAAAUAUGUGUAUACAUAUGUGGACAUAUGUGUAGAAAUAUUGACUAUGUACUAACACACUUGUACAUUGUUUUAUAUCUAUUGAUACUCCAAAGGUACCAAAAAAGACUAAAAUAUAAAAUCUCCUUCUUUCUUUGUCUAGUUCUUCCUAAAGGCAGUUACUUAUUUCUCUUUAGCAUCCAAAAGAACCUGUAUAUAUACAAGCAUACACAUUCACAAAGGGAAAUGUAGUAGGGUAUAACUAAAAGUAGUUAGCCAUAUCCAGGUUGUUUUUAUUAACAAACAGUAUCCAGCCAUAGAUUCAAUUAAGUUAGUUGAAUUAAGUCAGCUACUGAUUCUAUUAAGUAAGUCAUUACUUUAUUAGUAGACAUUCUGAAAGUAUAGUUUUUGUUGUUGUUUUUAACAUUCUUGGUUUUUGGUUUUUUGAGACAGGAUUUCUCUGUGUAGGCCUGGCUGUCCUGGAACUUGCUCUGUAGUUGGCUUUGAACUCAGAGAGCCACCUGCCUCUGCCUCCCAAGGGCUGGGAGUAAAGGUGUGCUAUCCUUAGACUUGGGGUUUGAGGUUUUGUACUUCAGCAUUGUUGUCUACGGAAAGCUUUACCACUUAGUUAUAACCUGUUGGUAGUCUAUCAAACACGUGCCACAGCCAGUGAUGGCAUCCCUUGGAGUAUUUAGAUCCUUUGCUUUUUGUCUACUGCUUCUAUUUUUAUUUCUUUUAUUUUUGAGGCAGUUUCUCUGUGUAGCCUUGGCUGUAGAACUUGCUUUGUAGUCCAGGCUGGCCUUGAACACAGAGAUCUGUCUGCCUCUGCCUCCCCAGUACUGGCAUUAAAGUUGUGUGCUACCACUGCCUAGCUUGUCUGUUGAUUAUAAAUCUGCAUGAUAAUAUUAUUUUGUUUGCUAAUGGUUGACUAAAAGAAUAUUUUUAUUUUGACAGGAAAAAUGGCUUGAAAAGCAGUGUAAGUUAAAAAAACCCACAAAAAUCUAAAGUUAAAUAAUACAUUCUUAAAUAUAUAAACCUGUUGAAGCCCACUGAAAUGUUGGGCUCAAAUAUUUUUCUUCAUAGAUAAAAAUGGAUGUUCAAAAUAUAAAAGUGUUUAUAUGACUACAAAUAUAACAUUUUUAUUUGUUGUAUGUCUGGCUAAGUACUUGAUGUUUACAAGCUAAGAGUUUAUUAGAAAUUACUUCAGCUUGAUUUGAAGUUCCUGUUUCCUGUUUUUUUGCUAAGCUGUUGAAAACUUAGAUUUCCGAUCCUGUGUUACUUGCUUAUAGUUUUGCUUUCAUAUCCAACACACAUAUUUCAUUCCUCAUUUUCAUUCAAGGAAAUUAAAAACUUAAGCCAUAAAUAUGGUAGUUGUUAAACUUAGAUUAUUGGUCUUUAUUUUACAGAUUAAAUGGAUAUUUUUUUGGUAUUUCCUUUGUGAUGAUUUGAUUAUAUAGAACUUACAGGGUUAAAUAGUACAAAGACUUUAAAGAAUUCUAUAUUUGUAUGAUUCUUUUAAUCUCAUCAGUUGGAGAUAAAACAAUAGCCUGUUUCUUUUCUUAAAUCUUUAUUUAAGGAAAUAAAAAUUUUGGGGUUGAGAGAUGGCUCAGCAGUUAAGAGCACUGGCUGAUCUUUUUGAGGACUGAGGUUCAAUUCCUAGCACCUACAUGGCAGCUCUUAAUUCUGUAACUCCAGUUUCAGGGUACUUGACACCCUCACACAGACAUACAUGCAGACAAAAUACCAGUGCACAUAAAAUAAAAAUACAGCAUUUAAAAAACUUUGUGCUUUUUUUCAAGUUUAUUGAAAAUUUGAAUAGGAAUUUUACCAUGUUCAAAGCUUAUGUUAAUAGUAUGCUGUUUUGUCUCAGAAAUCAGGAUUUAAACUUUCCUUCCAUCUAUACACCCAUCCAUCCAUCCAUCCAUGGCAAGGUCUCAUUAUAGUUCUGGCUAUUCUAGUAUGUAGAAUAGGCUGGCCUUGAACUCACAGAGAUCUUAUCCAUCUCCCUUUACCUUCCAGUGCUGGAAUUAAAGGUGUAUAUCAUCUUGCUGAGCUGGGAUUUAGUUAUUUUAAAGCAAAAACAUAAAUAAAAAACCCCAUAAGUUAAAUCAAGAAUCUCUUGCUAUGUAUAAUGGGGUUUUAUAAUGUAUUUUAAAAGAUCCAUGUUAUAUUUCCUAUUAUGGUGUGUGUUAAAGUUUCAGAUUAAUCUCAUUGAUUAUACACUUUUGCAUGUUUAUAGAAUGAGUAUAUAUAGUAAACUAUAAAUGUUAUUAAAGGUAUGGAAUUGCUUUGAAAGUAUGUAAUCAUUUAACAAUUUUUUUUAAAAGAUUUAUUUAUUUAUAUAUGAGUACACUACAGCUGACUUCAGACACACCAGAAGAGGGCAUCGGAUCCCAUUACAGAUGGUUGUGAGCCACCAUGUGGUUGCUGGGAAUUGAACUCAGGACCUUUGGAAGAGCAGUCAGUGCUCUUAACCUCUGAGCUACCUCUCCAGUCCUCAUUUAACAAUUUUUAACUUAAAGAAAAAUAGCUUACUAGAACAGGUGGAUUUCUGAGUUUGAGGCCAGCCUGGUCUACAAAGUGAGUUCCAGGACAGCCAGGGCUAUACAGAGAAACCCUGUCUCAAAAAACC